UACAGAGGUCUCAAGCGUUGUUCGGAUUCAUUGGGCGUAAAGGGUGCGUAGGCGGCGCGGUAAGUCGGGUGUGAAAUCUCGGAGCUUAACUCCGAAACUGCAUUCGAUACUGCCGUGCUUGAGGACUGGAGAGGAGACUGGAAUUUUACGGUGUAGCGGUGAAAUGCGUAGAUAUCGUAAGGAAGACCAGUGGCGAAAGGCGGGUCUCUGGACAGUUCCUGACGCUGAGGCACGAAGGUCAGGGGAGCAAACGGG
rnacentral:rRNA from 1 species